rnacentral:rRNA from 1 species
CUUGCUAUCAGGCGUCGAGCGGCGGACGGGUGAGUAAUACUUAGGAAUCUACCUAGUAGUGGGGGAUAGCACGGGGAAACUCGUAUUAAUACCGCAUACGACCUACGGGAGAAAGGGGGCAGUUUACUGCUCUCGCUAUUAGAUGAGCCUAAGUCGGAUUAGCUAGAUGGUGGGGUAAAGGCCUACCAUGGCGACGAUCUGUAGCUGGUCUGAGAGGAUGAUCAGCCACACCGGGACUGAGACACGGCCCGGACUCCUACGGGAGGCAGCAGUGGGGAAUAUUGGACAAUGGGGGAAACCCUGAUCCAGCCAUGCCGCGUGUGUGAAGAAGGCCUUUUGGUUGUAAAGCACUUUAAGCAGUGAAGAAGACUCCGUGGUUAAUACCCACGGACGAUGACAUUAGCUGCAGAAUAAGCACCGGCUAACUCUGUGCCAGCAGCCGCGGUAAUACAGAGGGUGCAAGCGUUAAUCGGAAUUACUGGGCGUAAAGCGAGCGUAGGUGGCUUGAUAAGUCAGAUGUGAAAUCCCCGGGCUUAACCUGGGAACUGCAUCUGAAACUGUUAGGCUAGAGUAGGUGAGAGGGAGGUAGAAUUUCAGGUGUAGCGGUGAAAUGCGUAGAGAUCUGAAGGAAUACCGAUGGCG